AUAACACAUUGGUCUUCUCCAAGAACUCAUAUCGACAAGAAAAUAUGGCACCUCAAUAUAAACUCUUCGCCACCAAAGGUUGUAGUAUAACCUAGGUUGAGUUAUUUGCCUAUUAAGGCGAGGCAUGAGCUGGGUUUAGAAUAUCAUUAGAUAGUUU
rfam:Populus trichocarpa isolate Nisqually-1 chromosome 11, whole genome shotgun sequence.